UACGUAGGGGGCAAGCGUUGUCCGGAAUCAUUGGGCGUAAAGAGCGUGUAGGCGGCUUGGCAAGUCUGGUGUGAAAUCUUGCGGCUCAACCGCAAGCGGUCACUGGAAACGUGCCUCGCUAGAGUCCGGAAGAGGAGAGCGGAAUUCCUGGUGUAGCGGUGGAAUGCGCAGAUAUCAGGAAGAACACCCGUGGCGGAAGGCGGCUCCUCGUGGGACGGUACUGACGCUGAGACGCGAAAGCGUGGGAGCGAACAGG
rnacentral:rRNA from 1 species